GUACGCAAAAGUAUGUUGUAAGUGAAUUGAUGAAAGUUUGAAAAUGAGAUGUUACAUCCCGCAUUUUUGGACUGUCACACCUCCUUUUUACCUACGCCCGCAAGGCGUAAGGGGUUUUUUCCAAUUAAAAGACAAUCGAAACGGGAUUUAUUUAUUUAAUUCAGAGUCGCCAGUUGGAAGAUUUAUGGUGUCUGUCACCCCUCCUUUUUCACUAUACACCCCCGCAAAGGGGCGUGAAUGAGUUUUUCCAUUAAAGGACAAUCGGAACGACAUUUGGUUAUUAAUUAUUCAGAGUCGCCACUUGGGAGAUUAAUGGCGUCCCAAGUCACCGAUUUGGAUCCCGAACCGAGGAAGAUUAUGACUCUAUUAACAGUCCGAACCAGAAAUCCGAAUAAGGAAUUCUGAUAACCCGGGAGAAGGUGUUAGGCAUUCCCGGGUUCCGUAGUUCUAUCACGAUCGCUUAACUGCUGUAUUUGAUUUUACCUGAUUCUAAUACAUGCUAUCUUAUGUGCCUUUUAUUUAUCUACCGCUUUUACCAUUAUUUGUUUUAAA
rnacentral:lncRNA from 1 species